UACGUAGGGUGCAAGCGUUGUUCGGAAUUACUGGGCGUAAAGCGUGUGUAGGUGGUCAUUUAAGUCAGAUGUGAAAGCCUGGGGCUCAACCCCAGAAGUGCAUCUGAAACUAUUUGACUUGAGUAUGGGAGAGGGUAGCGGAAUUCCUGGUGUAGUGGUAAAAUACGUAGAUAUCAGGAGGAACAUCGGUGGCGAAGGCGGCUACCUGGCCCAAUACUGACACUGAGACACGAAAGCAUGGGGAUCAAACAGG
rnacentral:rRNA from 1 species